rnacentral:rRNA from 1 species
UACAGAGGUGGCAAGCGUUGUUCGGAAUUACUGGGCGUAAAGGGCGCGUAGGCGGCCUUCUAAGUCAGACGUGAAAUUCCCCGGCUUAACCUGGGAACUGCGUCUGAUACUGGGAGGCUUGAGUAUGGGAGAGGGAUGUAGAAUUCCAGGUGUAGCGGUGAAAUGCGUAGAUAUCUGGAGGAAUACCGGUGGCGAAGGCGGCAUCCUGGACCAUAACUGACGCUGAGGCGCGAAAGCUAGGGGAGCAAACGGG